rnacentral:rRNA from 1 species
GAUGAACGCUGACAGAAUGCUUAACACAUGCAAGUCUACUUGAACUUCGGUUUGGGUGGCGGACGGGUGAGUCACGCGUAAAGAACUUGCCUCACAGAUAGGGACAACAUUUGGAAACGAAUGCUAAUACCUGAUAUUAUGAUUUUAGGACAUCCUAGAAUUAUGAAAGCUAUAUGCACUGUGAGAGAGCUUUGCGUCCCAUUAGCUAGUUGGAGAGGUAACGGCUCACCAAGGCGAUGAUGGGUAGCCGGCCUGAGAGGGUGAUCGGCCACAAGGGGACUGAGACACGGCCCUUACUCCUACGGGAGGCAGCAGUGGGGAAUAUUGGACAAUGGACCAAGAGUCUGAUCCAGCAAUUCUGUGUGCACGAUGAAGUUUUUCGGAAUGUAAAGUGCUUUCAGUUGGGAAGAAAAAAAUGACGGUACCAACAGAAGAAGUGACGGCUAAAUACGUG